GUCUUAAUGCUGUUAUUAGCGUCAUUGACAGGCAGUACAAGCGUCAGUUCGAAAUGAGUUCUAAUGAUCUUCUUAAAGACCAGACUAAGUCAGCCAGGCUUUACAUCAUUGAUUCAGAAGAACUUAUGGGUAUGUUUAGCGCUGCAAAGCACAAAGCUCCUAAUGCUACUCUUUGUUUUCUUUCUUCAAAACUUCGUGCUUGCAAAAAUAAACCAACUGUUCUGCUUUGUAAAAAGCCAACUGAUAUUCAAAACAAGUUGAUAUUAUGGGCUAUCUCUAAUGCCAGGAAAAUUGGAUUUACAAGUUUGCAAUGUCAUAAUGAAAUGAAGUUAGAACUGCUAAAACGAAUGGCGGAUAAAAUUCAGAAAAGGGAAGACAAAGACCGCAGAAAGGUAGAAAAAAUAUUAAAAAGUUGCAUGCCCGAUCAGGUGAAAGAAAUGUUUCCUGACCUAGAAAAUAACGAGGCCUCAGAUAUUGAAGAAAUUCUUAUUGGAGCUGCUAUUGGAAGAAGUAUUUGCCACAUGUGGUUCGAUAAUGCCAAUAACACCCAUGAGGUAUAUUACGGCAGAAUUGUUAGCAUUAAAAAGAAGAACAAUGAUAUAUAUAUAAAGUUUCUUAUUGGAAACCAAAAGAAAAUGAAGAUGAUGACGGUGUUGAGUAUGAUAUGAGCAAAUAUCAACUUUCUGCAGACAUAAUAAGCGGUGAUAUGGUGAUAACAUAACAGAAUUGUGUAAUAAUAAGGUAGUCGGGUAGUUACCGACAUCCAACAACCAGGGUUGACCUGGUUGCAACGUGCUAUGGGAAACCAAAGCUCAUUUACUUUUUGACAUAAGCAAAUUGCUUGGCUUAUGACAAUUAAUGUUUAUCAUUGAUGUUUAUCAUUAUCAAUUAUUGGCAAUGCAUUUUUCUAUCAAGUAUAACAGAGUUUUGCUUGCGUGGAUUGAGAGAUGUUAAACAGUAUUGAAGGGUCGGCUAUCGAUUUUUUUGUUUAUUAAUGGGAAGUUUGUUGUGUAUCAGGAGUUUUAACAAUAAUGGCAAUUUGCUACUGUGGAUAUUUAUGUUAAAGACCUCAAGAUUAUAUUUAUUAAUUCAGUUAAACAACAUGAAGAAAACUACAUGGUUGCUUCAGUGGAUGUUGAUCUUUUUCAUAUCAAGAUUAAACCGAUAUUAUUGGAUGUGGUUUCCUUUGCGUACUAAAGAAUCGACUCUUUCUAUCUAUGGAUGUCACAGUUUUGUUUGCUUCAAAAUCUAGGCUUUUUUCAAAGCCACAA